AUUGAACGCUGGCGGCAGGCCUAACACAUGCAAGUCGAACGAGUGGCGGACGGGUGAGUAAUGUCUGGGAAACUGCCCGAUGGAGGGGGAUAACUACUGGACACGGUAGCUAAUACCGCAUACCAUCGGAUGUGCCCAAAUGGGAUUAGCUAGUAGGUGAGGUAACGGCUCACCUAGGCGACGAUCCCUAGCUGGUCUGAGAGGAUGACCAGAGACACGGGAAAUUAGACACGUUCCCGACUCCUACGUGAGGAAGCAGUGUGGAAUAUUGCACAAUGUGCGCAAGCCUGAUGCAGCCAUGCCGCGUGUAUGAAGAAGGCCGUCGGGUUGUAAAGUACUGUCAGCGGGGAGGCGUUACCCUCAGAAGAAGCACCGGCUAACUCCGUGCCAGCAGCCGCGGUAAUUC
rnacentral:rRNA from 1 species